rnacentral:misc_RNA from 1 species
AAGUCGUAACAAGGUUUCCGUAGGUGAACCUGCGGAAGGAUCAUUAAGAAAAGGCGAGUGCGGAAACGCGCUCUCAUUUCAAACCACUGUGAAAACGCACGUUGCUUCGGCAGCUCCACGGCCGCGAGGUCAUGGGUCAGCCUGUCGACAGCACCAAACCAAACCUUUUUGGUAACAGCAGUCUGAUAACGAAAUACAAGUCGUUAAAA